rnacentral:tRNA from 1 species
GCAUUGGUGGUUCAGUGCUAGAAUUCUUGCCUGCCACGCGGGAGGCCCGGGUUCGAUUCCCGGACAAUGCA